rnacentral:lncRNA from 1 species
UUACUACAAGGAUCUUUCCAAAACUCUCUUAAUUUACGAAGUUCGCUUAGGUUACGAUCAAUAUUAUUUUCAAAUUCUGAAAUAUUCUGUUGUUUUUUCAGCCACACGAGCCACCGGACCACAAAUAACCGUUAGAAAAUCUUUCCUCCUUUUGGUAGUGUCCGCCUGUAUUCGUCAAUCUUUCCACAGAUCUCCUAUCGUCGUGUUGCUUAAUAUUGAAUCAGGAUUAGAUAGUAAACGAAAAGAUAAGUAUCUGAUACAAACAUAAUUCAUGAAUAGAUGGUCUAUAAUCUUAAAUUCAACCGCAUAGAUUGCACGUAAUUUUGCUCCUCCUGCCAAUCUUUUUUUUGUGUGGUGAGAUAUUCUUGCUCCUUUAUAUCAGGUGUAGUGAGUUACAAUUAUUAUAUAACACGAGAGAAGGCGGAGAUCCGUCGGAUGGGACAGCCAACAGGGUGAGAGAAGGCGGAGAUCCGUCAGACGAGACAGGCAACAGGGCGAGAGAAGGCGGAAAGGCACCAUCACGAAGGCGGAGAGGACGAAAGGACGGCGAGGGGGGCCAACGCCGCGUCGUACGGAAGAACGCGGCUGCGUUCCCGAGUGAGGAAAGCGAUGGCGUCGCGGCUACGAAAGGGGGGGAGGGGAGCGCCGCCGUACGGGAGGGCGGAGAGGGCUCCAACCCUAGCGUCGCGGCUACGAAAGGGGGGGGGAGCGCCGCCGUACCGGAGGGCGGAGAGCGCGAAACGCGGGGAGGGCUCCAACCCUAUCGCCCUUUCAUAAGCUUAUAUUGAUGAUACUCCCCAUAAGUGCCCAUGUGAUUUGGGUCCUACUUUUUUUUGCCUGCAUCAAUGGGAAAGAGAAACAUCUCGUACUGUCACCAGUAGAACUACUAAUCUACUGAGCAAGCUAUGUCAGAAGCUAUUUAUCAAUUAUCUUUCGGAAAACUUCAAAUACCCCCAACGUGGUUUCAUAUUUUUUUAUUUUAGUACCCUGUGAUUUAAGUUAGUAUCCUGUGUUUUUGUACUUUCUCAUUUUAGUACUCUAUGGUUUCAAGUGUAUCAAGUUAGUACCAUGUGAUUUUAUUUUUAUAUCAAGUUAGUAUCCUGUGAUUUCAAUUUUUUUUUUUAUUAUCUAUUUUGGAGUAUAUAAUGUAACGAAAUAUUAAACCACAUGGUACUAAAGUGAAAAAAUGCGAAACCACGGAGUACUAACUUGAUACACUUGAAACCACAUGGUACUAAAGUGAGAAAGUAUGAAACCACAUGGUGCUAACUUGAUACACUUUAAAUCGCAGGGUACUAAAAUGAGAAAGUACGAAACCACUUGGGGGAUAUUUGAAGUUUCUCCAUUAUCUUUUUCCAAUGCAUUUCCACAAUUCCAC